GGCAUCGUCUGGUUUUGAAAGAAUAUCGGAGACGGAUGGGCAUGCGGCGCAUUAGCUAGUUGGCGGGGUAACGGCCCACCAAGGCGACGAUGCGUAGGGGUUCUGAGAGGAAGGUCCCCCACACUGGUACUGAGACACGGACCAGACUCCUACGGGAGGCAGCAG
rnacentral:rRNA from 1 species